rnacentral:tRNA from 1 species
GUCUAGUUCGUACAGUGGUUAGUACCCCGCAUUGUGGUUGCGGAAACCUGGGUUCGAUUCCCAGACUGGACA